rnacentral:rRNA from 1 species
AGAGCGAACGCUGGCGGCAGGCCUAACACAUGCAAGUCGAGCGCCCCGCAAGGGGAGCGGCAGACGGGAGAGUAACACGUGGGAACGUACCCUUCAGUUCGGAACAACCCAGGGAAACUUGGGGCUAAUACCGAAUACGUCCGUAAGGAGAAAGAUUUAUCGCUGAAGGAUCGGCCCGCGUCUGAUUAGCUUGUUGGUGAGGUAACGGCUCACCAAGGCGACGAUCAGUAGCUGGUCUGAGAGGAUGAUCAGCCUCACUGGGACUGAGACACGGCCCAGACUCCUACGGGAGGCAGCAGUGGGGAAUAUGGACAAUGGGCGCAAGCCUGAUCCAGCCAUGCCGCGUGGGUGAUGAAGGCCCUAGGGUUGUAAAGCCCUUUCGGCGGGGAAGAUAAUGACGGUACCGCAGAAGAGCCCCGGCUAACGUCGUGCCAGCAGCCGC